GGGUUUGGGGCUGCCUUACCAUGCAGUCGAACGGUAACAGGGAGCUUGCUCCGCUGACGAGUGGCGAACGGGUGAGUAAUACAUCGGAACGUGCCCAGUAAUGGGGGAUAGCUCGGCGAAAGCCGGAUUAAUACCGCAUACGCCCUGAGGGGGAAAGUGGGGGACCGCAAGGCCUCACGUUAUUGGAGCGGCCGAUGGCUGAUUAGCUAGUUGGUAGGGUAAAGGCCUACCAAGGCGACGAUCAGUAGCUGGUCUGAGAGGACGAUCAGCCACACUGGGACUGAGACACGGCCCAGACUCCUACGGGAGGCAGCAGUGGGGAAUUUUGGACAAUGGGGGAAACCCUGAUCCAGCAAUGCCGCGUGUGCGAAGAAGGCCUUCGGGUUGUAAAGCACUUUUGUCAGGGAAGAAAUCCUUUGGGCUAAUACCCUAGGGGGAUGACGGUACCUGAAGAAUAAGCACCGGCUAACUACGUGCCAGCAGCCGCGGUAAUACGUAGGGUGCAAGCGUUAAUCGGAAUUACUGGGCGUAAAGCGUGCGCAGGCGGUUGUGUAAGACAGGUGUGAAAUCCCCGGGCUUAACCUGGGAAUUGCAUUUGUGACUGCACGAC
rnacentral:rRNA from 1 species